CCCUUCCUUGUGUUCUCCCCCUUCUCUCUCUCUCUAAGUCUUCUCUUCCUCACUACCUAAUCUCUCACCUUUUGACCCACACCCGAGAGCACCCACACCUGUAACUACUCUACUCGAGAACAUCAUCAUCAUCAUCAAGCAUUGUUCUGGUCUCUCUUCCGUAGCAGCGAGAUUGGUGAAAGCAGAGAAAAUGACCUCCGACGAGUUUUUCUAAUUUUUCCGGUUAGGUUUUGAAGACGGGAACAUCGCGGGGGAAGCUCACCCCAUUUUUCCGACGAACCCAUGAGUUUCGAGGGAAUUUCCGGUCACCUCCGGCCGUGUCACGACUAUUUGAGGGUGAAAUUGCUAGUGAGGGAAUUGGUAAUCCUUAUCCACACAACUCUACUGCUACGAAGUAUCUGUGAGUGGACCCCUUCUAAAAUUACAUGAUUUUAUGGUUUAAUUGCAUAAAUGAAUAGCAUG